GGUACAGGGAUGGAGAGGAACUCCAGGCAUCUGCUCCAGGGGUCACCAAGGACUGAGAUGAUUCAGAAUGUGGAAGCUCACUGCCUCCCUUGGCUUCUUCGCCGCCCCUCCCCCUCUCUAGGCCUGCUUCCAGUCUGUAGUUCACCUGCUUCCAAAACCUCGACCUUCAUCACGAACACAGAUCCAAGCUGAGGUACUCAAGAGUCACACCUGAGACCCCAAGACAGGUGGAAGGACGUUGGACCCCAGGACCUAGGACUGUGCAAUCAAUGCUCCCACCCCACAGCAGACCCUCACUCCCAGUCCUUUGGCUCCCAGGACCCAUUUUCUUCUCCAGGAAGCUCAUGGCCUCUAUCUUGCCAGGUCUCCUGGAGUUUCCCAGCUGGACAGAAAGUUCAGAUGAGAGGGGACCAAAAGCCUUUACAUACAACCAGCAUUGCAGAAGCCUCUGGAAUCUUCUCCUGCCAUGUUCUUAGCCAUCAGAAGCAGCUAGGGCAUUUGUGAGCUGGGUUGAGGCUGGGACAACAGGGGACCUGGGGACUGUUAAGAAGCAAGAACAUGUCUGCUUCUUUUAUGACCUUCAAUAUUAGCCACCAGGAAGUUGCCCCAUGAAGCCCACGACCUCGUAUCACUAACUCGGCUUGAAUUGAUUAAGGAGACUGGGAUGA
ensembl:lincRNA Gm20052 predicted gene, 20052